CUGGCCUACAGACUUAAUCAGGGAUCUCAGACAACAUUAAGGAUUACCACCGUGUGAUCCAUUCUGCCAUCAAUUCCUGAUGAUCUGCAAGUCCUUGGAGGCUUCUUCGUGCUGUCCUGAGAUCGCUCAGAGUGUGUGCCCAGCAAAAGGACGGUCCGUUGACGUUUCCUUCAGUGAAAUAUCAGCUCAGUCCGUGCUGUGAAUACCACGGAAUCAACAGUGGAUCCCUUCUGAGUCACCCUUGGGUGGCUGCCCCCGAGACUGAGUCAGAGCAGCCUUAAACAGGUGCCCCACUGACCUGUUCUCCUCUCUCCUGUGUGUUUCUCUCCCCGUACAAAAUGGCAAGAAGCAAUGGGCUCCAGAUGAUAAACUCUCCAUAGAAUCAACCACACUGAGUUGGCAUUUUUCUGUGAUUACUGCACAUGAAGAGGGUAAAUAUUGUAUUCUUGGGGGGUGGGUGGGCUGCUUAAAGUUGAGUGAGUUUUGCUGAUCUCUCCCUGACUCUCUGGCUGACGGAUCAACUGAUGAAUGGGAGCGAGGAAUCCCUGCUGGUGCGGUGCUGCUGUCUGUGCAGCGUUUCUGUAGCACCGCUUUUGGUGGUCGAUCCUAAUCCAGGAUUGGGUUUUUUCUGCCACUUCUUCAUGGAUUUCCUACCGUCCUUUGCUUGGGCAGGCAGACGUUUGCUUUGAAUAGCUGAGAGUUUUGAUGGUCCAGGUGAGGAGCAGGGUUCAUCACCUUGGGUCAGCUUGAUCAGCUCCUUCAGUAGACUCUUCUGAUCAUCCUGAUCUCCAUCAGGGGUUGCUGACAGCACCACGGGUUCUUCCCUGUUAAUCAGUAUCACAGAACCAGAGAAUGGCCUGGGUUGAAAAGGACCACAAUGAUCAUCUGAUUCCAGCCCCCUGCUAUGUGCAGGAUCGCCAUCCACCAGACCAGGCUGCGCAGAGCCACAUCCAGCCUGGCCUUGAAUGCCUCCAGGGAUGGGGCAUCCACAGCCUCCUUGGGCAACCUGUUCAGUGUGUCACCACCCUCUGGGUGAAAUACUUCCUUUUAAUACCCAACGUAAUUCUCCCCCGUCUCAGUUUAAAACCAUUCCCCCUGGUCCUAUCACUUAUCCACCCACAUACACAGCCAUUCCCCCUCCUGUUUUUACACUCCCUUCAACUACUGGAUGGUCACAAUGGGGUCUCCCUGCAGCCUCCUCUUCUCCAAACUAAACAAGCCCAGUUCCUACUACUUUUCCUCAUAGGAGAGGUGCUCCAGCCCUCUGAUCAUCUUCAUCGCCCUCUUCUUUGCCCAGUAGAGACAGUACCUCCAGCAC
ensembl:lncRNA